GCAUUGGGUUUAUGCAGCCAAAUAACCCAGUUAUAGAAUUAUGAUUUUUUUGGCUGGAGCAGUGUGGUGUUUCCUUACUCAGCGGUGGGGGCCUUUUUGUCCUUUGCCAUUGAUUCAAGAGGGCAAAAACAGGAGGGUUAUGGCAGGGGGGGGGGNGGGGAGAACUUUUUUUUCUUCUGCCACUUUUUGUCAUUGUCAUGGCAGUUUUGAUGUGACCACAGUUUUUCUGCCCACUAGGUAUUUUCAUGGCAGCAGCAGGUCCGCUGACCCUGCAGGUAAUGGGUGUGUGGAAUUUUGGCUACCAAUCUUUGUACAGAUUUUUUUUCCCCUUCUCUCUCUCUCUCUCCUUCUCUCUCUCUCUCUCUCUCUCUCUCUUUUCUGUUUCCUUUUUGUCUUAACCAUGAUAUCAAAGUAGGAGUUGUCCGAAAUAAUACAACACCUGAACACCCCUUGAAAUUGAAUCACAAAUUCCUGUCUAAUUGAAUGUUUGAGCAUCCACUAGAUAGAUAUGUAACUACCAGAAUGUGUUAUCUGUAUAAAAAA
rnacentral:misc_RNA from 1 species